rnacentral:rRNA from 1 species
CCUACGGGAGGCAGCAGUGAGGAAUAUUGGUCAAUGGGCGCGAGCCUGAACCAGCCAAGUAGCGUGAAGGAUGACUGCCCUACGGGUUGUAAACUUCUUUUAUAAAGGAAUAAAGUGAGGCACGUGUGCCUUUUUGUAUGGACUUUAUGAAUAAGGAUCGGCUAACUCCGGGCCAGCAGCCGCGGUAAUACGGAGGAUCCGAGCGUUAUCCGGAUUUAUUGGGUUGAAAGGGAGCGUAGAUGGGUUGUUAAGUCAGUUGUGAAAGUUUGCGGCUCAACCGUGAAAUUGCAAUUGAUAAUGGCAGCCUUGAGUACAGUUGAGGUAGGCGGAAUGCGUGGUGUAGCGGUGAAAUGCUUAGAUAUCACGAAGAACUCCGAUUGCGAAGGCAGCUUACUAAACUGCAACUGACAUUGAUGCUCGAAAGUGUGGGUAUCAAACAGGAUUAGAUACCCUAGUAGUC